AUAACACACAUGUAAUCAUGUUGUAACCAAACAAGUUUCAAGUAAAUCAAAAUACAUUUUAUAUUUGAGAUUCUUCAAAGUAGCCAGCCUUUCCCUUGAUGGCAGCUUUGCUCACUUUUGGCAUUCUCUCAACCAGCUUCAUGAGGUAGUCACCUGGAAUGCAGUUCAAUUAACAGGCGUGCCUUCUUAAAAAUUCAUUUGCGGAAUUUCUUUACUUCUUAAUGCGUUUGAGCCAAUCAGUUGUGUUGUGACAAGGUAUGGGUGUUAUACAGAAGAUAGCCCUAUUUGGUAAAAGACCAAGUCCCUGUUAUGGCAAGAACAGCGCAUAUAAGCAAAAAGAAACAACAGUCCAUCAUUACUUUAAGUCAUGAAGGACCUGAGCCCUAGGACCAUGCCUCAGGACUACCUGGCUUGAUGACUCCUUGCUGUCCCCAGUUCACCUGGCCGUGCUGCUGCUCCAUUUCCAACUGUUCUGCCUGCAGCUAUGGAACCCUGAACUAUUCACUGGAUGUGCUACCUGUCCCAGACCUGCUGUUUUCAACUCUCUAGAGACAGCAGGAGCGGUAGAGAUACUCUCAAAGAUCGGCUAUGAAAAAGCCAACUGACACUUACUCUUGUGUCACUGACUUGUUGCACCCUCGACAACUACUAUGAUUAUUAUUAUUUGACCAUGCUGGUCAUUUAUGAACAUUUGAACAUCUAGGCUAUGUGCUGUUAUAAUCUCCACCCGGCACAGCCAGAAGAGGACUGGCCACCCCUCAUAGCCUGGUUCCUCUCUAGGUUUCUUCCUGGGUUUUGGCCUUUCUAGGGAGUUUUUCCUAGCCACCGUGCUUCUACACCUGCAUUGCUUGCUGUUUGGGGUUUUAGGCUGGGUUUCUGUACAGCGCUUUGAGAUAUCAGCUGAUGUAAGAAGGGCUAUAUAAAUAAAUUUGAUUUGAUGAUUCUGUCAUCAUGAAGUUCUUUGAGAGACUAGUCAUGGACCAUAUCACCUCCACCCUACCUGAUAACCUAGACCCAAUCUAAU
rnacentral:lncRNA from 1 species